CCUACGGGAGGCAGCAGUGAGGAAUAUUGGUCAAUGGGCGCGAGCCUGAACCAGCCAAGUCGCGUGAGGGAAGACGGUCCUAUGGAUUGUAAACCUCUUUUGUCGGGGAGCAAAAGACGCCACGCGUGGCGUUCCGAGAGUACCCGAAGAAAAAGCAUCGGCUAACUCCGUGCCAGCAGCCGCGGUAAUACGGGGGAUGCGAGCGUUAUCCGGAUUUAUUGGGUUUAAAGGGCGCGCAGGCGGAAGAUCAAGUCAGCGGUAAAAGUGAGAGGCUCAACCUCUUCGAGCCGUUGAAACUGGUUUUCUUGAGUGAGUGAGAAGUAUGCGGAAUGCGUGGUGUAGCGGUGAAAUGCAUAGAUAUCACGCAGAACUCCGAUUGCGAAGGCAGCAUACCGGCGCGCAACUGACGCUCAUGCACGAAAGUGUGGGUAUCGAACAGGAUUAGAUACCCGUGUAGUC
rnacentral:rRNA from 1 species